AAAAAAAUUAUUUCAGCAGGCUCCAGCAUUAGCAUCUUAGCAAAAAAUUAAUUGGAUAUAAGAAAAAUAGUCAGCAAUCUCUUCUCCAAAAUCACAGGUUUUUGAUAAGAAUUCAACAGCUGAGUGCGACGGAGAAGGUUGUGCAAGGACAUGAAAGGUGCUUGAAGCUGGAAAGUGCACAAACUUUGGUGUGGCUUAGUCACCGGGUGUAAGACUUUAUCCCAGGUUUUAUGUUAUUUUGGUGUUUGGAGUUGGCUCGGGUUCUAGUGGUGACUGGUGAGGAAAGAAGUUGAGACUGUGACUGCUUUCAUUGUGUAUGGUAUUCUUUUCGGCCAGAAAUUUUCCUCAAGGAACAAUAAGUGACAUGGUAAAUGAUGCUUCUCAAGGAAUCUCUUUUAUCAUCAAUAACAUAGCUAAUUAUGUCUUUGUGCUUGCAAUAAGUAAAAACAAAAAAGAAAAGAGAAAAAAAGAACUAGAUAUGAGUAUCAAGUGUUACCAAUGAUGGAUUUUAUAUUUGUGAUAAGCUUAGUUACUAGAACUUCACUUCGUACUUUCUUUAGAUAUUGGAGAUUUGCUGUAGCAAGGAUAGUAUGGUAAAUGAAAUGAAAGAAACUAACAAAGCUGAUAUCAAGAAUAGUUGAGAAGUUAUUUGCUGAGUUAAGGUAGUUAGUUAUUGUUAGUUAGUGCAGUUUCUUAUUUUGGUAUGAGGAUUGA